UACGUAGGGGGCAAGCGUUGUCCGGAAUCAUUGGGCGUAAAGCGCGCGUAGGCGGCCAGAUAAGUCCGGUGUGAAAGUCACAGGCUCAACCUGUGAAUGCCGCUGGAAACUGUCUGGCUUGAGUCCGGAAGGGGCGAGUGGAAUUCCUGGUGUAGCGGUGAAAUGCGCAGAUAUCAGGAGGAACACCGGUGGCGAAGGCGGGUCUCUGGGCCGAUACUGACGUGAGGAGCGAAAGCGUGGGGAGCGAACAGG
rnacentral:rRNA from 1 species